GAUGAACGCUGGCGGCGUGCUUAACACAUGCAAGUCGAACGGAAAGGCCAGUGCUUGCCCUGGUACUCGAGUGGCGAACGGGUGAGUAACACGUGGGUGAUCUGCCCUGUACUUCGGGAUAAGCUUGGGAAACUGGGUCUAAUACCGGAUAGGACAACUUUUUGGAUAUUGUUGUGGAAAGCUUUUGCGGUAUGGGAUGAGCUCGCGGCCUAUCAGCUUGUUGGUGGGGUAAUGGCCUACCAAGGCGUCGACGGGUAGCCGGCCUGAGAGGGUGUACGGCCACAUUGGGACUGAGAUACGGCCCAGACUCCUACGGGAGGCAGCAGUGGGGAAUAUUGCACAAUGGGCGCAAGCCUGAUGCAGCGACGCCGCGUGGGGGAUGAAGGCCUUCGGGUUGUAAACUCCUUUCGCUAGGGACGAAGCGCAAGUGACGGUACCUGGAGAAGAAGCACCGGCUAACUACGUG
rnacentral:rRNA from 1 species